CCAAGAUACACUAAUGGGGAACAGAUUUGCCUUCCUGCAUAAAACAACCCAAAGCCAGAAAAUAUGUAUGAAACAAUGGUUUUCAAGACCCUGGACAUCAGCCAUAGAGAAGGGAAACAAAUGAGGCGAGCCCUGUGAUUGCGUCAGCUGAUUGCCUUGAGAGUUUCCAGGCCGUGGUGCAAGGACAGAAAAGUCAGGCAGAGCUCAGACUCUCUGAGUCAAGGAAACGGAGCUGAGACCUGGAAGACCAAGGUGGCAACAGACUGCAGGACGGGGUACCGGAGGGGAGAGCGCUACACGGAGAAAGAACAGAGAUCUGCAGAGGGUCACCCUCCAUCAUUCAGCAGAGUACCGAUCAGCUGUGUGAGGAAACUGCCUGAGGCAGGGGGAAAAAACCACUCAGAAUCAUUAGAACUGCAUUUCUCAACCUUUUUAAGAUUGUCAGCCCCCUAUGGAGUCAGAUGCUUGCUCUUGGGAUCCAGGCACCAUGCUGCAUGGAAGCCCAGGCCACAUGAAAAGGCCACUGGUAGGUGUUCCAGCUGACAGCCUAAGCUAAGGUCUCAGCAUCUCAGCAGACAUCUAAGUGACCCAACCUUCAGAAGAUUCCAGCCCCCAGCCUUUGAGUCUUCCACCUGAGGCCCCAGACAACAGAGGUGCCAGUGACAAACCAUCCCCACCAUGUUCUGUCUGCAUUCCUGACCCACACCACCCAUAA
rnacentral:lncRNA from 1 species